GGGAAGGUGGCUCAGUGGUAGAGUGCUUGCCUUGCAUGCAUGAGGCCCUGGGUUCGAUUCCUCACCACUACA
rfam:Dipodomys ordii contig_2828, whole genome shotgun sequence.